rnacentral:rRNA from 1 species
UGCAUAUCAUUAAGCGGAGGAAAAGAAACCAACAGGGAUUGCUCUAGUAACGGCGAGUGAACAAGCAAAAGCUCAGUUUUGAAAGCCUACUUUGUAGGCAUUGUAUUCUGAAGCCUAGAUUCUGGGAAACGGUGUUUAAGUCUUCUGGAAAGGAGCGCCACGGAGGGUGAUAGCCCCGUACGGCACUGACCCCAUUGUAGUUUCUAGGCGUGGAGUCGAGUUGUUUGGGAAUGCAGCUCAAAUGGGAGGUAUGCUCCUUCUAAAGCUAAAUAUUUGCGAGAGACCGAUAGCGAACAAGUACUGUGAAGGAAAGAUGAAAAGAACUUUGAAAAGAGAGUGAAAUAGGACGUGAAAUUGUUGAAAUGGAAGGGUAGGCUGCUAACCAUGUAGGACCGUGUCUGAGGGGAAGAUAAAAGCUACGGAAUGUGACUCUUCGGAGUGUUAUAGCCGUGGUCAAUGUUCCCACUUAGGCGCGAGGAUC